rnacentral:lncRNA from 1 species
AGGUGAAGAGCCUGUGGUGCUGUGUGCAGACGCAGAAGCAGAAGCCCAGGCAGAUAUGGUCUGGUCCAGCGCUGAUGUCAUCGUGUGUUCAGCCGUCAGUCACAACUCCCGCUACCUGGCAGUGGGGCUCACCUCAGGCUUCAUCACUGUCUGGGACAGACAUACAGGGCUGCUUUGUGCUACUGUCCCCCUCCCAGUAGACGGUGCGCUGAGAACCAUGUGCUUUAUGGUGCUCAGUCCUCCAAUGGCACCCCAGGAUCCUCUCUUGCCCAGAGCCCACCUACUGGUGAGCUCUGAGUCUGGAGAGUCUCACCUCAUUACGGUGGAGCAAGAGGCAGUCACACACACUGAAAGACUGGUUAAAAAGCCCAGCGAUUCUGACGGUCUCAUCACCGUAAUUGAGCCUGCCUCCUUCCAACGCAGCCAGGUUCUACUCAUGCAGAAGAGCGGCUCUGUGGUCCUUCUGGAUGUGCUGCGUCGAGAAGCUGUGUGUUCCCUCGUGCUGCCACACACACACACGCUGGCUUCACCCUGGGAUCCCGUUUUUGUCUUCAUCUCAGUUCUACACAAGCUCUGCAUACGAGGUACAGCCCUGCCACUGCCAGCACAUCUCACAAGAAUUCAGUUGUGUGCAGUUAUCUAAUGCUCAAACACACACACACACACACACACACACACACACACACACACACACACACACACACACACACACAUACACACUCACUCACUCACUCACUCUCUCUCUCUCUCUCUCACACAUACACACUCUCUCU